GUGAGGAAUAUUGGUCAAUGGGCGGGAGCCUGAACCAGCCAAGUCGCGUGAAGGAAGAAGGAUCUAUGGUUCGUAAACUUCUUUUGCAGGGGAAUAAAGUGCAGGACGUGUCCUGUUUUGUAUGUACCCUGAGAAUAAGGAUCGGCUAACUCCGUGCCAGCAGCCGCGGUAAUACGGAGGAUCCGAGCGUUAUCCGGAUUUAUUGGGUUUAAAGGGUGCGUAGGUGGUUUGAUAAGUCAGCGGUGAAAGUUAGCAGCUUAACUGUAAAAAUGCCGUUGAAACUGUCGGACUUGACUGUAAAUGAGGUAGGCGGAAUGCGUGGUGUAGCGGUGAAAUGCAUAGAUAUCACGCAGAACUCCGAUUGCGAAGGCAGCUUACUAAGCUACAACUGACACUGAAGCACGAAAGCGUGGGGAUCAAACAGGAUUAGAAACCCGGGUAGUCC
rnacentral:rRNA from 1 species